UACAGAGGGUUCAAGCGUUAAUCGGAAUUACUGGGCGUAAAGCGUGCGUAGACGGUUAUGUAAGUCAGGUGUGAAAGCCCCGGGCUCAACCUGGGAAUGGCAUUUGAGACUGCAUAGCUAGGGUGCGGAAGAGGGAAGCGGAAUUUCCGGUGUAGCGGUGAAAUGCGUAGAUAUCGGAAGGAACAUCAGUGGCGAAAGCGGCUUCCUGGUCCAGCACCGACGUUCAGGCACGAAAGCGUGGGGAGCAAACAGG
rnacentral:rRNA from 1 species